rnacentral:rRNA from 1 species
AACGAACGCUGGCGGCAGGCUUAACACAUGCAAGUCGAACGAGAUCUUUGGAUCUAGUGGCAGACGGGUGAGGAACACGUGGGAACAUCCCUUUCAGUUCGGAAUAACGUUGGGAAACUAACGCUAAUACCGGAUACGUCCUUCGGGAGAAAGAUUUAUCGCUGAAAGAUUGGCCCGCGUCUGAUUAGCUAGUUGGUGAGGUAACGGCUCACCAAGGCUACGAUCAGUAGCUGAUCUGAGAGGAUGAUCAGCCACAUUGGGACUGGGACACGGCCCAAACUCCUACGGGAGGCAGCAGUGGGGAAUAUUGGACAAUGGGCGCAAGCCUGAUCCAGCCAUGCCGCGUGAGUGAUGACGGCCUUCGGGUUGUAAAGCUCUUUUGUCCGGGAAGAUAAUGACUGUACCGGAAGAAUAAGCCCCGGCAAACUUCGUGCCAGCCGCCGCAGUAA